rnacentral:tRNA from 1 species
AAUUAGCACUUUAAGCAACGGGAUUUAUCCGUUGGCGCCGUGCUUUAGCACUUUAAGCAACAGAAUAAACUGA